GACGAACGCUGGCGGCGUGCUUAACACAUGCAAGUCGAACGGAAAGGCCCUGCUUUUGUGGGGUGCUCGAGUGGCGAACGGGUGAGUAACACGUGAGUAACCUGCCCUUGACUUUGGGAUAACUUCAGGAAACUGGGGCUAAUACCGGAUAGGAGCUCCUGCUGCAUGGUGGGGGUUGGAAAGUUUCGGCGGUUGGGGAUGGACUCGCGGCUUACCAGCUUGUUGGUGGGGUAGUGGCUUACCAAGGCUUUGACGGGUAGCCGGCCUGAGAGAGUGACCGGCCACAUUGGGACUGAGAUACGGCCCAGACUCCUACGGGAGGCAGCAGUGGGGAAUAUUGCACAAUGGGCGGAAGCCUGAUGCAGCAGCGCCGCGUGCGGGAUGACGGCCUUCGGGUUGUAAACCGCUUUCGCCUGUGACGAAGCGUGAGUGACGGUAAUGGGUAAAGAAGCACCGGCUAACUACGUG
rnacentral:rRNA from 1 species